rnacentral:lncRNA from 1 species
GGCUGGGAGAGGCGUUGACUGUGGAGUCUGCGCGGCGACCCGCCCCGUGGGGUUGUGUGGCCGCCGGGUCCCCGCCUUCGUCGCAGCCUCUCUGAGUGCGACAUCGUGGAGCAGGCAGCCUGGAGCCCUCCGGGUCUGGGUGGGCAGUUCCGAGACGAGCUACACUCUUGUGGGGCGUUGGCUGCUCCCAGGGCUUCAGCUUUAUCUAGCUUCCGAGCGAACUACGGGUGAUCAAGCAUGGGGGAGGGGCGGCGCCUUUAACGUGGUUUUGUUUUCACUUAAACAGACACCGGUGCACGGUUUUGUUACCUAGCCAAGGGUUUCGUUCUUUCUUAACUUUGUUUAGAUAACUAACCCCUCGUGUGCUCUGGGCCGAAUUCUGACACUUACCCAGGGCAGCCUUUUCACUGAGAAAGGCUAACAGUAAAUUGUGUGGGCCUGGGUGAGUCCCCUCUCGGCUUUCUCUUCAAGGCCCACACUUAGGUCUCCGGGUGAAGAAGAUAAGGGGAGGAAUCUAGGAGACACACAGCUGUAGGACAAAGGAAAGCGAGGUGCAGGGCACUCCGCUGAAAAAGAAAGCACCCAGCUUGGGCAGGCAACCUUCACCCAGUCCUACCACAUUACAUCUGAUUCUCGCCCUAAAGCCAGAGAACUGCUUGAAGUACACUGUGCAAGGAAACCCAUCUAUCCCAACAACUCUCAUGGAGCAGAUGAAAAGCUUCAAGCUGGGAAAGCAGGCAUGCGGCCUCGCAGGGAACUUGCCGGUGGGCACACGGUUUCUGUACAGAGGAUGGAGUUUCUUCAUACACACCAGGUCUUAACUCGUGAAUUACCACUUCCUGCAGGAGAUGACACCUCUU